GUUCAGUUGCGUCUCAGUUGGAUUUUCUUCAGACUGCAGAAUCUUCAUCUUCAACUCUUCUGACUGUUUUUAGAAACUAUGAAGGUGUGUGUGUGAGCUGAUGUGGACGUGAAUUCAGCAGAAUGGACCAGUGUGAGGACGGAGAGGACGGAGUCCCUCCCUCUAAAACCUCUCUGUGUGGGGAACAUGAGAGUCGGAGCAAAGCUCAGAGGAAUCAACCUGGACCUGGACCUGGAACUGGACCUGGACCUGGACCUGGACCUGGACCUGGACCUGGACCAGGACCCAGCUGUGUCUCCUUGAAGAGCGACAAGUCAAAAGACUUCAUAAUU